rnacentral:rRNA from 1 species
GACGAACGCUGGCGGCGUGCUUAACACAUGCAAGUCGAGCGGUAAGGCCCUUUCGGGGUACGACGAGCGGCGAACGGGUGAGUAACACGUGGGUGACCUGCCCUUAGCUCUGGGAUAAGCCUGGGAAACGUGGGUCUAAUACCGGAUAUGACUCCAUGACGCAUGUUGUGGGGUGGAAAGCCUUGUGCGGCUAGGGAUGGGCCCGCGGCCUAUCAGCUUGUUGGUGGGGUGAUGGCCUACCAAGGCGACGACGGGUAGCCGGCCUGAGAGGGCGACCGGCCACACUGGGACUGAGACACGGCCCAGACUCCUACGGGAGGCAGCAGUGGGGAAUCUUGCGCAAUGGGCGAAAGCCUGACGCAGCGACGCCGCGUGA